AUGUCAGGCGUCAUCGCCGGUGAGGUGCGCGCCAUGGUGCGGCGCUUGUACAGGUCGGCGACGGUGUCCCCGCAUGUCCAGCUGAGGGGGAGGCUCAGGCUCUUCGAGCUCUCCCUCAGCGUGCUCAUGGAGACCAUCGCACACACCAAGGCAACCCGUUCGGAGUCGGAGGGCACGGACAUGUCCGUGGAGGCACAGGAGUUCAGGAAGGUGCUGGACGAGAUCAACCCGCUUGUGGGCAUGGCCAACCUGUACUGGGACCACCUGCCAGUAAUGUGGUGGCUUGACGUGUUGGAAAACAAGAACAAGGUCGUCGUUGCGGUGAGUAAAAGGGACGCGUUCCUGCAGCGGCUCAUCGACGCGGAGCGGCAGAAGCUGGACGACGGUGGCGCUGCGGUGAGUGCUAGUGAAGUCGAGGGCAAAAGCAUGAUCUCCGUCAUGUUCAAUCUGCAGAAGAAAGAGCCACAAGUCCAUACCGAUAAAACGAUCAGGGGCCUGUGCGCGAGUUUAUUUAGUGCAGGAACGAAGACCACCUUAGCUGCGAUAGAAUGGUCUAUGUCGCUCCUGCUAAAUCACACAGCAAAACUGAAGAAGGCGCAGGCCGAGGUCGACUGA
rnacentral:rRNA from 1 species